rnacentral:rRNA from 1 species
UACGUAGGGGGCUAGCGUUGUCCGGAAUCAUUGGGCGUAAAGCGCGUGUAGGCGGUUCGGUAAGUCCGCUGUGAAAGUCGGGGGCUCAACCCUCGAAAGCCGGUGGAUACUGUCGGGCUAGAGUACGGAAGAGGCGAGUGGAAUUCCUGGUGUAGCGGUGAAAUGCGUAGAUAUCAAGAGGAACACCUGAGGUGAAGACGGGUUGCUGGGCUGACACUGACGCUGAGGCGCGAAAGCCAGGGGAGCAAACGGG